rnacentral:lncRNA from 1 species
CUCAUCCAUGGACAGAUCGAGUGGAGGCCGAUGACAAUAACCACGAAAGGACUAACCCUUCGAAGACCCCAUGUGGCUGUCUGGUGCUCCUCGUCAACAAGCGAGUUGAGCGGAUGCCUAUGAUAAUUUGAUAAAAAUCAUCAUGAAUCGACUUUGGAUCAACCUUGGAUGACUCCUCAUAGGGAUCCUCUUGAAUGUCUCCAUAGGAAUU